GACAGAGGGUGCAAGCGUUGUUCGGAAUUACUGGGCGUAAAGCGCACGUAGGCGGUCCGCUAAGUCAUGUGUGAAAUCCCCCGGCUCAACCGGGGAAUGGCGCCUGAUACUGGCGGACUCGAGAUCGGUAGGGGUGAGUGGAACUCCAGGUGGAGCGGUGAAAUGCGUAGAUAUCUGGAGGAACACCGGUGGCGAAAGCGACUCACUGGACCGACACUGACGCUGAGGUGCGAAAGCUAGGGUAGCAAACGGG
rnacentral:rRNA from 1 species